UUCUGGCUCAGGACGAACGCUGGCGGCGUGCCUAACACAUGCAAGUCGAGCGAGGAGAUCCUCGGGAUGAUCCUAGCGGCGGACGGGUGAGUAACACGUGGGCAACCUGCCUCAUAGAGAGGAAUAGCCUUCCGAAAGGGAGAUUAAUACCUCAUAACAUUGCAGUUUCGCAUGGAACAGCAAUUAAAGGAGUAAUCCGCUAUGAGAUGGGCCCGCGGCGCAUUAGCUAGUUGGUGAGGUAACGGCUCACCAAGGCGACGAUGCGUAGCCGACCUGAGAGGGUGAUCGGCCACAUUGGGACUGAGACACGGCCCAGACUCCUACGGGAGGCAGCAGUGGGGAAUAUUGCACAAUGGGGGAAACCCUGAUGCCAGCAACGCCGCGUGAGUGAUGACGGCCUUCGGGUUGUAAAGCUCUGUCUUCAGGGACGAUAAUGACGGUACCUGAGGAGGAAGCCACGGCUAACUACGUGCCAGCCGCCGC
rnacentral:rRNA from 1 species